rnacentral:rRNA from 1 species
GGAUGAAGGCCUUCGGGUCGUAAACUGCUUUUAAUUGAUAGAAAACAAAUGAUUGUCAGUUGAAUAAGGGGUGGCUAACUUCGUGCCAGCAGCAGCGGUAAUACGAAGGCCCCGAGCGUUAUCCGGAAUUAUUGGGCGUAAAGGGUGCGUAGGUGGCUAAGCAGGUCUGUUGUUAAAUUUCACCGCCCAACGGUGAAACCGCAACGGAAACCGUUUAGCUAGAGGGUGCGAGAGGCUUGUGGAAUUUACGGUGUAGGGGUGAAAUCCGUUGAUAUCGUAGAGAACACCAAAGGCGAAGGCAGCAAGCUGGCGCAUUUCUGACACUGAGGCACGAAAGCGUGGGGAGCAAAAAGGAUUAGAUACCCCCGUAGUCC